rnacentral:rRNA from 1 species
UACGUAGGGGGCGAGCGUUGUCCGGAAUCAUUGGGCGUAAAGAGCGUGUAGGCGGUCCGGUAAGUCCGUCGUGAAAAUCCGGGGCUCAACCCUGGGCUUGCGGUGGAUACUGUCGGGCUAGAGGAUGGUAGAGGGGAGUGGAAUUCCCGGUGUAGCGGUGAAAUGCGCAGAUAUCGGGAGGAACACCAGUAGCGAAGGCGGCUCCCUGGGCCAUUCCUGACGCUGAGACGCGAAAGCUAGGGGAGCGAACAGG